CUGCAAGUCAGGAGUCGGCGACCGCUUAGUGAUGAGCGACGAUUUUAAAUAGCAGAAUAAAGGCUUUUUCGUGUCUGCCCCACAGCCCCUCCAGCUCGAAUAAUGAAGAGACAGUCAAUGCAAUCUGCAAGCGGCGGCCCAUUGUACGCAGCUGAUGGAAAGAAGGCAACCGGGGCCGGCGAGGGCUCCUUGCCCUCUCUCCUCUCCUCAAAUAAACGCGCUCAUGUCUCCUGAUCAGUUAAAAGGUGAAAUGAACACGAUUAAAAGACAAAAAGAGAGACAGAGAUAGAGAGAUAGAGAGAGAGAGGGAGAGAAGAAAAGAAGGAAGAAAAAGAACAAGCUUUCUACAUAUAAAUUCUAAAUUUUAUUCCUCAUGUAGUACAAAGGCAGGCAGUCGAGGGCAGAGAAAGCAGGCAGGGAGAGGGAGACAGGGAGAAGCAAAGAGAACGUGGAGAGAUACGGAGCGAGUGGAAGAGGAAGGAGGAAGGAGAGCAAGCUCCAGGGAACUGGAGGCGCCCUGGACGCCCAGCCCUCCGGCCCAGCCGCCCUCGGACUCUGGACCGCGAGUCGUGGGCACCAGAAGCGAGACUCGGCCAAGUCCUGCCCUACCAGGGAUUGAGAAACGGAAAUUUCACCACCCUCCAGCCAAACUUUCGAGGACUGAUUGCAGAGGAACUGGUGCUCCAGAUGUUGCACUAGAGGCGCUGCAAGUGUGAGCAGAUAUAAGCUGUUUUCAUCAGGGAACUUUGGCAAGAGAAUGGCUGGAUCAGCAAGUCCAUCUCCAUCAUGGAACAACAACUUGAAGCUCAUCUCUGUUGAUGAUGUACAGUCUGUAGGAUGGGGGUAGACUGAAUACCUGCUUCACGGAAUACUUGCUUCAAAUCACCUUUCACAUCUUCUUGUUGGAAAGACAAUCAUUGGAGAAUCGUCUUGUUACUGUCAGCAAAACUGAAAAGAAAUCAAGACAUUAAGAAUGCCACAGUGGCCAGCAGUUAAUGAUGCCAGUGUUAUGCAAGCUUCGGCAAAGGAAUUUUUUUCAAGACAGCGUGCCUCACUAGCCAGAAAUCAGGAAAGGUUGAACCUAUCCUUUUUAUCUCAGCUGUUUCUUCAGUCAGUGCAGCCCCUCCUAAUUAAAGUGAAUUGAAACAUGCAUUGCCUUUUCAGCUUAAUUGAGUACUUACUAUGUGUGAAUCACUGCACAGAAUAGGGGAGGGAAAAUGAGGGAGACAAAUAAGAUAUUGUCCCUGCCUUCAUUGGAUUUACAGUUAGUUUAAGGGCUUUUUUUGUCUUCUGCUCUUAAUUAAGUGUAUCCCUAAGACAGGAAAUGAAUGGAAAAGUGUAUUCUGUAAGUAUUUGAAAUCUCCUUAAUAUAAGACGAAAUAAAAACUAAUGUGAGCAACUCAG
ensembl:lncRNA